rnacentral:lncRNA from 1 species
ACAGAACUUCAGAAACGGAAACAAAUUUAAUAUAUGUCAACUUCUCUCCACGUUUGGAACAAGGAUGGACAUGAGGGUUUUUUUACAUCAGUUAUGUGCCAGUUCCCCUUCUCUUAAGAAUCAUCCAGGAUUUGGACAAGGGAAAAAUGGUUUUACCUUCUUUCAAGUAGAAUCCUAUAGUGACAGAAGCUACAUUCCUAACCUCCUGGGAAGCAAAUACCAGAGAAUAACAGAAGUGUCUGUAUCCUGAUUGUGUGCAAUCAAGGUAGAACAAUUAAAUUUACUCCAUGUGUUCUGAUGAUGUCCCAUUUAAAUCAAGACAAUAUCUGCAGAUUAUCACUGCAAAGAGCCUCCCAAUAUCAGUUUCUGUUAUACUUG